GACGGGGGGUCCUAGCGUUGUUCGGAAUCAUUGGGCGUAAAGCGUGUGCAGGUGGUUUAGAAAGUUGGAUGUGAAAUCCUUGGGCUUAACCCAAGACGUGCAUUCAAAACUUCUAAACUUGAAUAUGGAAGAGGGUCGUGGAAUUCCAGGUGUAGUGGUGAAAUACGUAGAUAUCUGGAGGAACACCGGUGGCGAAGGCGGCGACCUGGUCCAAUAUUGACACUCAUACACGAAAGCGUGGGGAUCAAACAGG
rnacentral:rRNA from 1 species